UUUCCAAAUUCUUUGUUGUGCUGCUCUUGCUGCAGAAGAAACCAUGUGCGGUGCCUGUCUUGUGCCUCUAGCUUAUUGUCCACGUCAGGCCAUCGGGACCCAGCCUGUUUGGCAUUUGUAUCCUUCACCAAAAUUGGUUUCUCUUCUCUUUCUGCCCACGUGGGAAGAUUUCAUUCCUGGUCUCCUCAGUUUAGGAGUGGCUGUGUGACUUGCUGUGGCCAAGGUCAUGUGGGCAGAGCUCUGUGUUGUCACUGCCAUGCUGUCUUCCGGCGCCAGCUGGUGCACAGUUGAGAUGUCUGUUGUCAGCAUAGUUGUUCCUGGCUUGCCGUCACCUCUGGAGAGCUUGGCUACACAUCGGAAGUCUAUUUGCAUGUUUCCCCCUCAUCUGUAGGAAUUCCAGCAGGAGGAUUUGAGGUUACUCUGUCACAUUCCCAAGGUGGAAGUGUAGGUAGUGUUGCUCACACUCUGCCUACUGCUCUGCACUUCGCUUUUGCCCUUCACGCUGCACCUCACGGAUACUUCAGCAGGUGCCACAAGCCUGCCUCACCAUUUCUGGGGCUGAGUACUAUUCCCACACUUUAGUCCACUUAGUUUACCUGUUGAUGUUCUUCAGUAUUUUUCCAAGUUUUCAAUACUAUAAACAAUGAUGCAGUAA